UCCAUAAUUAAUCACUUCAUUUACAUCACUCUUAAAGAAAACUUUAUUAUUGUCAUCGUGAUUUUAGAAAUCUGUUAUUAAAAUCUUUGAUAUCAAAAGUGUAUACCCUCUUAAAUGGUUUAUCAAAAUAUUCUUAGUGUUGAUGACCAUCAUAGACUUUCUCAGCUACUCCACACACCUUUUUGUCCAGCAAGUUUAUUUAUUUCCUUAAAAAGGCAUUUUUCUCUGCCAAAGACCAAUAAUGUCUAAUUUUAUAUCUGUUAAUCUAGUCAGACUAUCAGAAGAUUUGAUCCUUUUUUCUUCUAUCACUGCAGAAAUUUGAAAGGAGACUUCAUCUGAACAUCAGCACACUGCAAAUGAGAAAUACAAAGGGAUUUUGUUGAAAGGAAAGCAUCCAUGUUUUUAUUCCCCUUUAAUGUACUUCAAAUUGAAUAGGAAAUUUCAGCAAUGCACAGGGGAUAAAUGACAAUUUCUCGAGGCAGGAGAAACAAAGUCAUUACUGAGAUGGCAUGCUGCACAAACAAUUGCAAUGUGAUUCACUUUUCCACCUGCUUCCCACAGACAUGGUUCUCACUUCAGCCACUUGUACAUAAAGUUUCUGAAAAUUGCCUUUAGACAGUUGAUCAAACUCGGGCAAUCAUUUUGACAGAAGACUGUUGGCAAAACAGCUCUUUGUGAGGGCAUGCCAGGGACAUGUAAAAAGUGGAGGCAGGUUUGACUUGCAGAUCAGAAUUGUUGUAUAAGGAUCAGCUCUGGAGUGAGCUCCUACUGGCUUGCUAACGGUGGCAACCCUUAACAUGCAUUUAAACCAAAGACAGGAAAACCCGUGGAACAAUAAUAGAGAUGGAAGCAGAUUUUCAUGUCCCUAACUUUAGCACCAAAGUAAAUAUUCCAAGAUGGGAUUCUCUGCUUUUUCAAUGCUUACCAGAGAACAGAAUGAACCUCAAGAGGGAAUUUAGAAAUGCUAAGUAUUAAACUCUAUAGCUUUAAUGCAAAAUUUCCAGUGAAGACACCUACUUCAAAUUUUAAAAUGUAGAAACUUUAAGCACUAAAAUGAUGUCUUUAAAGUUAAAUAGCUUGAAUAUUCCCCAAAUCAUCUUUUUUUUUUUUUUUUUUUC
rnacentral:lncRNA from 1 species